UACAGGGGGGGCAAGCGUUGUUCGGAAUUACUGGGCGUAAAGGGCUCGUAGGUGGCCAACUAAGUCAGACGUGAAAUCCCUCAGCUUAACUGGGGAACUGCGUCUGAUACUGGAUGGCUUGAGUUUGGGAGAGGGAUGCGGAAUUCCAGGUGUAGCGGUGAAAUGCGUAGAUAUCUGGAGGAACACCGGUGGCGAAGGCGGCAUCCUGGACCAACACUGACGCUGAGGUGCGAAAGCGUGGGUAGCAAACAGG
rnacentral:rRNA from 1 species